rnacentral:rRNA from 1 species
CCUACGGGAGGCAGCAGUGGGGAAUAUUGCACAAUGGGGGGAACCCUGAUGCAGCAACGCCGCGUGGGUGAAGAAGUACUUCGGUAUGUAAAGCCCUGUCAGCAGGGAAGAAAAUGACGGUACCUGACCAAGAAGCCACGGGUAACUACGUGCCAGCAGCCGCGGUAAUACGUAGGGGGCAAGCGUUAAACGGAUUUACUGGGUGGAAAGGGAGCGUAGACGGCAAGGCAAGUCUGGAGUGAAAGCUCGUGGCUCAACCACGGGACUGCUUUGGAAACUGUGUUGCUGGAGUGCAGGAGGGGUAAGCGGAAUGCCUGGUGUAGCGGUGAAAUGCAUAGAUAUUAGGAAGAACACCGGUGGCGAAGGCAGCUUACUGGCCUGUAACUGACGUUGAGGCUCGAAGGCGUGGGGAGCAAACAGGAUUAGAUACCCGGGUAGUC